AAGUCGUAACAAGGUUUCCGUAGGUGAACCUGCGGAAGGAUCAUUAACACGUAUCCAAACGUAUCAACCAACCCUGUGAACCUGUUGUCUCCCUUUGCAGUCGAAUUUUUCGAUAGGAAGCAUACUGCUUGUAUGGAUGGUCGGGGAAGCACUCUUGUCAUGAGAGCUGUGUUACUCGCAUCAGUAUGUGAUUGUAAUUAUCAAUGUAUUCUUGCAUUGAUGUCACACGUCGACUUCUGCAAGGGCUUUUGUUCUCUAUUGAGCUUUCACGUCCGUAAGCAAAAUAGAGGACGCUUUUUUUCAUAUCAACCAUUUUCACCCCGUUUUUAAACAGUUGAUUUAUCAUGUGAAUCUUUACGCAAGUUUGGAUUCCACGUUCUUAAUUGAACACAAAUACAACUCUUAGCAAUGGAUGUCUAGGUUCUC
rnacentral:misc_RNA from 1 species